ensembl:snRNA U6 U6 spliceosomal RNA
GUGCUCGCUUCGGCAGCACAUAUACUAAAAAAAUUGGAACGUUCAGAGAAGUUUAGCAUAGUCCCUGCACAAGGAUGAUAUGCAAAUUCAUGAAGUGUUCCAUAUUUUA